rfam:Morus notabilis contig35988, whole genome shotgun sequence.
GACCCUGUUGUCAAGUGGUUAAGACACAAUGUUUUCACCAUUGUAUCACGGGUUCGAUCCCCGUCUGGGUUA